CCAGUCUGAAUUCUUCUGUUCAAGUUCAUUGGCUGGACGAUAAUGUACAUAUAGUGCACCGUGGGCAGCGUUUCAUAAAUCGGGGCACUCGAGCGUAGCCACUGGCGAUUAGGAGGCUAUCAAACUUUUGCCAAACAGCAGCUGACGACGCUCGUUAAACUCAUUUGUAAAUCACACGAUAAAGCUGCUGCCAACAAUGGAGGCAAAAUGACAGAUCUUCAUUUGAUUUAAAUUUUCUGAUAUUUCAUAAACAGCAUAGAAAAGCAAAUAUAUGUAUAUGUAAAUUAAAUGUAAACAUUAAAGUAUUUCAGCAUGACAGGAUUUUUGCAAAAUUUCCAUCCGUAUGACACACAUAUGGUAGGCAUAACAAGUUCUGUUUAUUCUAACAUUUCUAUAACGAAAUAGCUCUUUAUGCUGAUUAUAAUGAUGAUGAAAUCAAGCAAAUGGCUCGUCGUACUAACUGGGCUAAUUAUUGCAGAAGAACAGCGAACGAAAUGGAAUUGAAAGUGGAGCUCAUCGGGAGAUGUAGUUGGAAAUAUUGCUUAAUAUCAGACAAUGACUAAACUACGCCCCAGAAACAAAGGCACAUCCACGACAAUAGACAAUGGAAGACGAAGACCCCUGUUUUCACCGCCCUUUUACCCCCAACCGCCCCCAGUGGUUUUCCAUAACUGCUAUCAACUGUGUAUGGCGGCGCAUUGUCAACACAGCUGAAAUUUGACCCAUAAAAUUUCCCACAAAAUUAUAGUAAUUUUGCUAACUCAAUUUGAUGAACGACAAAGAAAAACACAGGCCAGCAGCGAGAUAAAAUUAUAGUAAAAUCCAGCAGGCGCAUUUCCAGGGAAAUGCGGGAAACGGCCGGCUGUGGGAGUCGAUUGCAAAACUAGCCGAAAAUUGUUUGCCGCCGCCAGGCAGCGAAAAGGGAAAAUCGGGGAAAAAAACCAAAACCAGCGCAAUUUUCACCAGUAUCCAGUUACCGCACUUCCUCACCAUCUUCAACUACGGUUGAAGAUGCCGCCUUAUCCCCCGGAAAAGGGGCACCACUGGCGGGGGGUUUUGAUCAAAGGGGCCCAACCGCAUAAUUAUAUAGCCCGCCGAUCUCAGCGGCCAUCAUUGCGGGCGGUGGGCGGUCAAUUGGACGACAGCAAAGAAGCAAAGAGGGCUGCAUCGCAACUUGAUGCUCUUUAUAUGGAAAAGUACGCUGGAUCGCACUGGGAACUUACCAACUUUUACAAACAGCGGGUAUAAUUACUAAUGGGUCUUAACUGGCACCGAAAAUUGUUUCUAUCCCUCAAAGAAACUAAAAGUUGCAGAUGAAAUCAUGUCAAAUUAAAAGCUGAGCAGCAUUUAAGUAAAAGUUAAAUCUCGCUAUUUGAUUUAAGUAUAAUAAUGAAAUAAAUCAUACUUAAACCCGAGUAGAUUACUAAUCUUUAAAAUAUUUUCCAGCUAGCCUAAGGCUGUCUUAAGU